rnacentral:tRNA from 1 species
GGUAGUGUGGAUUAGUGGCUAAAACACUGGACUAGAACUCCAGGGAAAAAAGGUCUAUUCCUUGCUCUGCUG